UCCAGAUCAGGCCCUGAUCUGAGGAAGGGCGCUGCCAGGAACGUCCGUUGUGUGGCAAUAAACUAUCAAAUUAGAGUGCUGCCCUAGCUUUAUUUAAGCUCCAUUCAAAUAAAAUAAAAGAAAACUCGGGGCCAGGACACCAAACCAGAACCCAGUCCAGAAGCAGUUUGAUCUUCAGUCGGAAGGAGAGGUCAGAGGGACUUUCUCAUCUUUAACACUCUCACUUGUCUCUUCUUAUUCAUUCAUUCUCGGAGACAACGAUGAACUUUAUUUUUUACUUCCUGUCCCUCAGCCGCAGGGUGUCACAGACAGUAGGGCAAAUUACAAACACAGGAGUCAGUACACGGAGAGACUCAACUCAAUCUACGGUCUCUGAGCUGACAAGGCAUUUAAAUGAAAGUUAAACAAGAGACAUGGACAAUCAGAGGAAGGACAACUGGGUCCCUGAUGCCUUUGGCUCAUCUAACAUUAACACAUUAAAACCAGAGCUGUCACUUUAGGGAUUUUUUUUUACUUGUGAAUUCAUGGUACUCUGUGUAUUUUAAUAUGUUGUUAUGUAUAAGUUGGUUUUAUGAGUAGUAUGCUGUGUUGAAUGUUUUCACGUCUGUCAAUGUUAGUUGUAAUGACAAUAAAGGUAUCUCAACU